UUUCGACCCAGUGCUAAUUUUCGACCCAUUGAUAAAACAAACGUUAUUUUAACUACUAUUUGAAAUUUUCAAACAUUUAUAAAUCACUGGAAUAUGCCAUUGCAGUUAAAUCUAUCAUGAUCCAAUAAAAAAUGCAUCUAUGUAACGGAGUUUUAAUCCUAAAUUGAUAAAUCCUGAUUUUCUUGUGUCUGAAUCAGUCCUUUUUCUUCCAUUGAUGAAAAUUCGUCACAUAUUGAAAAGGCUCAAAUCAGUAUAAAAACUGAUCAAAGUGAUGCCUAAUCGAUAAAGUUUGGUGAAACCUGAUAAAAUUUAAGCAAAUUGUAAUUAAUUUUGUGCAUCUAUAAAUGAAAAUAAAUUUUAUUACGCGUUUGAAAUUGUUCGAAAAUUGAAACACCAGGUUUCAAUUUUCGACCGAUCGAAAAAGCAUGCCAUGAUUUCAGCAGGUGAUGUGUUUUAGUUUUCGACCCUUCAUCAAAAGUAAACAUCGUUCAUAGUGGUGGUUGUUCUUUCGUGGAGUUGAAUUUCUUGCUUCAACGGUUUUGAACCAAAACGGUAAGAAAAAUACUGAUCUUGCUUCAAUUUUAUCAAAAUUAUAUGGAUUAACAUAUUAUAGCGCCCAGAAAAGUACAGACAAGUCUACGCAGUAGCCGACAUCCAGCAAAUAGCAUCUAAGAUUAGCGAAGAAAUAUCUAUCAGUCCGUUAUUCGUCCUGGACCGACCAUAAUGGAGGAGGAGACCGAAUUUGAAGAGUUGAUAUUCGGCAGUCAGCGACGGGGAUGGCUAGUGAAAUGUGACUCAAUGUUGGAGCAUGUUGAAGGGUUUCUUGAUACUGCUGAAAGGCAAAACUAUUUUAAAGACAACCAUCCAGGUGAAUUGAUAGAGCAAGAUAAAUAAUAUCGCAAUAUUCUUAGAAAGGAGUUGAAGAGAGAAUCCGAAAUGAAGAAACAAGACCACGCUGAAGCAAAACGAUUCGAGCAAAAUUUGUAGUGAAAAAAAAGGAAAACAAUGUACCGAAAUGACCCAUAAAA